AACCUGUAUCUUUAACCUCAAGUAAGCACCUGCGUGUGUCAGGAACACAGUUUUUGCCUAUCGAAAGCCAUUUCUCCCUGCUUUCUCUUACUUCUCCUCUGCUAAUAAAACUCCAAUCUGAAACAGGUGAAGACCCUCGAUCUGUGGGAAGGCUGGUCCCAGGAGAAGGACCAUGACUGGCCUAAGCUAGCCAUUGUCAGCCCACUCCUCUUUGCCAGUGACUAUGGGCAUGAGACCUGGUCCUGGCCCGUGGACUUGUAUGUCAUCAUCCCUGCUCGAUAACUCACCCUACACCACCGUGGCAUCUGAUAUUUGACUUCAAAGAUGCCCGUUAACACCUUCACUCCGCCCUUAGCUUGAGCUACAGGCUUGGUGACCAGCAGGUGAAGAGCAGGAUGACUGGAAAGAGGUGGUCAGCAAGGGAGAUCACCGGUUGUAGAGGCAGAACAUCUGAAGAUCGGUAUGCAAGAAUGGCAGGUAAUGUUGGCAGUGGAAGAAACACAGGAGCUUUCUGACUCAGAGCCCCGGGGAGCAAAUGGCAGGGGACCCAGAAGCUCACGGAAACUUUCUCCAGUUUGCAGUUGUCCUUCUGGGCAUUCCCUGCACAGCCAAGCUUGUGAUCACUCCUGCGAUCAGCACCCUGUGUGUUCUUGGUCCUCUGUGGUCAUUUAUCUUUCCAAGGAGCUCCAUCUCUGCCCAGGAUUGCCGGAGACCCUGGCUUGUUUGGCUCUGUGCCAGUUGUUGAGUUUCUGACACUCUGUUUCCAGUACACCCUUCCGUGCUUCUGCCCUGGAAACCAGCUGUGUCAUUUGUCAUCUAAUCCCUGAUAGCUUUGCCCACUGGGGUAGAGACUGGAGACUGGAGGAGGAAGUCAAGACUGGCUGCUUCCUGUUGGUUUCCUUCCUGUGACCUUUAACCUGCCAAAUACUGGCUGUGACAUCUACUUCCUGUAGAGACAGUGGGAUCCUGUCUGUGGUCUUCUUUCAACACUCACUGCACCCCAAGCAGAGAUACAGCACCAGCUGGUGGGUGACCCUCUUCAAGAUGUCCAGAUCCAGGCCCGUGGAGCCCCUUCUCUGAGCCCAGAGAUACCCGCCUCUGAGACUGAGUUUCAGCUCCACAGGGCUCUUCCUCCAAGCUUGCAAGCUCUAACAAGUCCAGUUUCCCUGCAGCCUUUGUGGUACAGGCUACUUCCCUCAGUUUGUACCUACAAGACACCUUAGUGCUUGUCUCUUUUACC
ensembl:lncRNA